rnacentral:rRNA from 1 species
ACGAACGCUGGCGGCGUGCUUAACACAUGCAAGUCGUACGGUAAGGCCCUUUCGGGGGUACACGAGUGGCGAACGGGUGAGUAACACGUGAGUAACCUGCCCACAACUUUGGGAUAACGCUAGGAAACUGGUGCUAAUACUGGAUAUGUGCCCCUGCUGCAUGGUGGGGGUUGGAAAGCUCCGGCGGUUGUGGAUGGACUCGCGGCCUAUCAGCUUGUUGGUGGGGUAGUGGCCUACCAAGGCGGCGACGGGUAGCCGGCCUGAGAGGGUGACCGGCCACAUUGGGACUGAGAUACGGCCCAGACUCCUACGGGAGGCAGCAGUGGGGAAUAUUGCACAAUGGGCGCAAGCCUGAUGCAGCAACGCCGCGUGCGGGAUGACGGCCUUCGGGUUGUAAACCGCUUUCAGCAGGGACGAAGCUUUUUGUGACGGUACCUGCAGAAGAAGCACCGGCUAACUACGUG